GACAUCCCGCGUGCUCCCGCCUGCCCCCCGGCGCACGCACACACACACAGACACACACAGACACACACACACCAUCAGUCACUCAGUCAGUCAGUCACUCUGAGUCACGCACACACCCCACCGCGGCGGCGGCGGCAGCGGCACAGACUGGCGACAGCAGCCGCAGACAGCGCCCGCCCGCCCGCCCGCCCGGCAGGUACGGCGGCUCGACGACCGCUCCGACGGCCGAGCAUGAGGGAGUGAGAGAGCGCGCGGGGCCGGCGCUGCCGCGGUGCUCGGACGGGGCGGCCGCGGGGGUGCGAGCGCCCGCGUGCAGCGCGGAUGGUGCCCCCCUAGGAGCGGCGCGCGCGCUGCCCGCCACCCCGAGCCAUGGUGAUCAUGUCAGAGUACGGCUCGGUGCCCGCCGCCGGACAGGGCCAGCAGCGGCCUCUGCGAGUCGGCUUCUACGACAUCGAGAGGACCCUGGGGAAAGGCAACUUCGCGGUGGUCAAACUGGCCAGGCACCGAGUGACCAAAACGCAGGUUGCAAUAAAAAUAAUAGACAAAACCAGGUUAGACCCAAGCAAUCUGGAGAAGAUUUAUAGAGAAGUUCAGAUAAUGAAGCUUUUGAAUCAUCCCCACAUUAUCAAGCUUUAUCAGGUUAUGGAGACAAAGGAUAUGCUUUACAUUGUUACUGAGUUUGCAAAGAAUGGAGAAAUGUUUGAUCAUCUGACCUCCAAUGGGCACUUAAGUGAAAGCGAAGCACGGAAGAAGUUCUGGCAGAUUCUUUCAGCGGUGGAAUAUUGUCACAGCCACCACAUAGUGCACAGGGAUCUCAAAACAGAAAACCUUCUGCUAGAUGCUAACAUGAAUAUCAAGUUAGCAGACUUUGGCUUUGGAAACUUCUACAAGUCAGGAGAGCCCCUCUCCACGUGGUGUGGGAGCCCACCUUAUGCAGCUCCAGAAGUUUUUGAAGGCAAAGAAUAUGAAGGACCUCACCUUGAUAUAUGGAGCCUUGGAGUGGUGCUCUAUGUCCUUGUCUGUGGUUCUCUGCCUUUUGAUGGACCCAAUUUACCAACGCUGAGGCAAAGAGUGCUGGAGGGGCGGUUCCGCAUCCCUUACUUCAUGUCUGAAGACUGUGAAACACUAAUCCGACGGAUGUUGGUCGUGGACCCAACCAAGCGAAUAACCAUUUCCCAAAUAAAGCAGCACAAGUGGAUGCAAGCUGACCCAUCUCUUCAACAGCAGCAGUCUUUGUCCUUUUCCAUGCAAAACUACAACUCUAACCUGGGUGACUACAAUGAGCAGGUCCUUGGGAUCAUGCAAACGCUUGGCAUUGACAGGCAGAGGACUGUUGAGUCUCUGCAAAACAGCAGCUACAACCAUUUUGCUGCAAUUUAUUACCUGCUUUUGGAGCGCCUGAAGGAGUAUCGAAGCAGCCAGCUAUCAAGUCGUCCGGCAACUGGCCGUCAGCAAAGGCCAAGGAGCUCCGAAAUCAGCAAUGUUGAGAUGCCUCAGGACAGUCUCACUAGUGAAACCCUACGAUCAUCUCUGCUUUACCAGCAACCUCAGAGCCUGAUUCAGCCAUCCUUGCAGGCAGAAAUGGACUGUGACAUGAGCAAUCCAUUGCAGCCUGUGUUCUUCCCUGUGGAUCCCAACUUCAAUGGGCUCUUCCGGAACCGCUCCAUCUCCCCCAACAGCCUGCUGGAGACCACCAUUAGUGAAGAAGUGAGGCAAGAGAAGGAGCUGGAAGAUGAAAUUAAGGCAUAUGACCACCCUGUCCACAUCCCCAGCAACACCAGCAGAAGGCACACGCUGGCUGAAGUGACCACUCGUUUCUAUCAGCAUGUCCCUCCAUGUAAGUAUAGUCAUAUCCUCUUCUGCAAGCCCCACAGAGGGAACUAGUUCAGACAGCUGCCUUACUUCAUCUUCAAAUGACAGCUCAGUGGCCCUGAGCAGCUGUUUGGCAGGUCAGGCAAUGACGGGGAGCCCAGCCACAGCUAGGAUGACGUCGCCCUUCCUAGCUUCCCAGUCUGAUGCUCCGGUGUUACAAGCCCAGGGCUGCAUGGGAGGUGCUUCUCUCCUGCCUGUCAGCUUCCAAGAAGGAAGGCGAGCAUCUGAUACCUCAUUAACUCAAGGCUUGAAGGCUUUUAGGCAGCAGCUGCGGAAGAACGCUCGAGCCAAGGGGUUUCUCGGCUUGAAUAAAAUCAAAGGCUUUGCUCGGCAGGUGUGUCAGUCCUCCUCAUCUCGGGCAGCAAGGAGUGCCAUGAGCCCUUUCCAACACACGCAGCCGAACACCUGCAUGUACAGCAGCAGCGGGAGCAGCAGAGAGGGAAGAAGCCUCCUAGAGGAGGUGCUACAGCAGCAGAGAAUGCUCCAGCUCCAGCAUCACCAGCUACUCCAGACAGCUUGUCCCCAGACUUCUCAGACAGCUGCAACAAAUGGCGUCCCCUCCUCUGAUAGCGUAGGUACCUGCAAAGCAUCCAAUUCUCUUCUGUUGUCAGAGCUACAAAGAGAGAACUCAUUUGAGCUGGCCUUUGGCAACAGCCAACUGCUCCAACCUCAUUUCUUUGGUGUCAGCGUGUCACCGGUGUCCUCAGCAGCUCACCUUUUAGACACGCACCUGUACAUCAGCAGCAACGUUUCUCCAGUUGGCACCACCUUCUCUCAGCAGCAGAGUUUCUCUGCGCAGUCUCCAAGCUAUGAUGCUGUCACUCUGCAGCACGGGGAUUGCGAGAUGGAGGACCUGACUUCCAACCAGCUAGGGAAGUUCGUCCUGGUCAAAUGAGAGCCCUGGCUGCUGCAGCUCACACUGCUCUUGUUGUGAAGAACUUCCACCAGUGUUCCACGGCGCAUGUGGCUCCGUGGCUGGCUGGUGUCAUGUGGAUGAGUGACUCUCAGAAGCAAUAAAUUUUGAAGUAUGUGAAGAGGCUGUCUGGCUCAGAAAGCUGGCAACUUUAUAGAACUGAAACAAGCAAUAUGUAUGUCUUUUUGCUUCUACUACUCUUGCACUGAACAAAUAUGAAUAGAAACUGAGUUUUUUUAAAGGAAAAAUAAUGGUGGGGAGGAUGGGUGGGGCAUUUGUGGGGACAGGGAGGGAUGUGGUUGGGGAAGAACUCUUCGGUACUGUACUUAAGUCAGACCAAUACAGCUCUGCUGUUAUGCAAGAUUAGCAGCUGUCAGUAGUGGUGACACAGCAGGGAGAGGCUUUUCAAAGAAGGGACCAGAGCCUCCCUUUUUCACAAUAUUCAUUUAUGGGUUUGUGAAGAUGAUUACCUCUUUUAAAGAAAAUAAACAGAAAAACAGUGGCAUGCAGCAUUAUGCAUUCAUAGAAGACAAAAAUGGAAGCAUUGCCAUUUGUUGGGUGGUUUUUUUCCCCUCCUGUUAACACUCAUUUUAUUUAAAGGAACCAACAUCCCCAUUCCACACCUCCCAGAUACACAUACUUUAAAUGAAAACUGUGAACUUCUUGCUUGAUGCAUCAGCUGGAAAAGCUUAAAAAGCCCUUCUAAUUAGUACAGAAGCAAGUAAUCUGCUGAAAAUGUAUCCCUUGAUACCAGGAUCCAAAUUGCAUAAUGUCUGGUGUUUUGCAGGGAUGUUUGUUUGGGGGUGGGGAGGGUGUGUGUGUAUAUACACAUAUACACAUAUGCAUAUAUUUUGUCAGUCUGAAUAAUCUCUAGGAAUCUUUUUAUAAAUGCUAAGUUUAUUCAUAUUCUUGCAGAGCACUGAGGAGGAAGCGUUAGUACCGGUGGGGUGAUGGGAAGGGUUUUCUUUUUGGAAAGCCCUCCUGGAGGUUGCCUACCAAGUAGCCUGAGGGGUAUUUCUUAGUGCUGCACAUGGUUAUUUCCGCUGCUAAUUGUGUUUUUAUGCAUUUCAUUAUCAGGGUCCAAACAGAACUGACUCUUGGGGAAAUGUGCAAUAUUGAGGUUAUAAUUAUAUACUGACAAAGACAAAAGGAAUAGGCUAGAACAGAAUUCUACUCUAACGGAGUACAGCUAUUUCUGAGCAAAACUGUAUUAAAAGUGAGUAACACAGCACAAUCUUUGGGUGUUUGGUUUUGGUUGGUUUGUUUUUGGCAUAUUAGCAAACUGAGGUUUUGGAUUAGAUAGGUGGUGGUUUUUUUCGUAUGGUUUUUAAUGCUGUAUAUGUAUAUAAAUAGGAAGCAGAAAACUGUAUAACACUAGUUAUUUUUUAUAUUUUGUAAUAUGCUUACAUUGUGUUUCUGGUAUAAACCCCACUCCCCUUCCAAGGCAGAGCAUGGCUUCUGUCGGUAUCCACAGAAGCUCUAUGUAUAACGGGGAGAAGAGCCUGUGUUCCUACAGAAAUGAGGUGGGUAGAGUGUGCAAACUUUGGAAGCAGAUGAGCAAACAGCCACCCAGCUUGGCUGGAAGCUGCCAGCCAAAUGUCAGGAGAUAGCUGCAUUCUGUCUGAACGCUUAAAGGACCCAUCUCCCUAAGUGUGACACGGGGUGCCUUCAAGUUACCUUGGCUUUGUGCAACCUGCAGUAUUACACAUUUGCAAGUCAUACAAUACCUGUUUUUUGUUUGGUUUGUUCUGUUUUUUGUUUUUUUAAAAAGAAAAAAGCCAAAGAUCGACCAGGUUAAUUGGUGGGAGUAGGAAGGCUUGAAGAUGUCAUGUGUCUCUGUCUGUGGCUCUCCAUAAACAACUUCUUUAUCUGUGUAUUGUAUCUGUGUGUCUGUACUGGUGCAUCUCCAGCUUGCCACUGCUGCUACAUGGUCUGGAAGCUUCAAAGUGAGAGAAAAUUGCUUGAGUUAGAUUUCUGUUAAUGAGUGGUGCCUUGCAGCAGAGAAAACACCAAAGUCUCAUGCUCAUUUUUAGUGUGGUUUAAAAAAACAGAAAAAAAUAACCCAACCCAAAAACCAGAUUGCGUGGAGAUGGCUGGAGAGGAGGGCAAGAAGAAGCCAGCUCAUCACAAAGCAGCCACUUUGCCUUCGGUUUUGUAAGGGGUAGCACACAUACUUCAAGCGCAGAAUUUCCUCUUCGCUGUUUUGUUUAACGCCAUGAAUCAAAAGGCCACAGAUUCUUUUGUUUCCUGUCCUGAGCAAUGACAAGCACUUUACUUUCAUAGUAUUUUUUUUGUUUUUUCUUUUCCAAUUGCUGUAGAACCUCUUUGGAAUUAUUGCUGGAGCAGAAAGAGGUCAUUUUAAAAAGUUUGGGUUUUCUUUGUAGAUACCUUGACAGUGCUGCAGACUGCAAUCCAAUAGGGUAUUUAAAGACACUACGUGAUUGGUUUUAUUGAGAUGUAUAGUUUAUUUUUUAUCAUGACUGAACAAUCAUUUCUUAUGUUAAAAUGAGAGGUGUACACCAAAAUGAUUAGUCGAUGUGUUUUAUUUAAUAUUUAAAUAAAAAAGGUUUUAAAAUUGUU